UACGUAGGGUGCGAGCGUUGUCCGGAAUUAUUGGGCGUAAAGAGCUUGUAGGCGGUUUGUCGCGUCUGCUGUGAAAUCUCAAGGCUCAACCUUGAGCUUGCAGUGGGUACGGGCAGACUAGAGUGUGGUAGGGGAGACUGGAAUUCCUGGUGUAGCGGUGAAAUGCGCAGAUAUCAGGAAGAACACCCGUGGCUAAGGCGGCUCUCUAGUACGGUACUGACGCUGAGACGCGAAAGCGUGGGGAGCAAACGGG
rnacentral:rRNA from 1 species